GAUGAAGAACGCAGCGAAAUGCGAUAAGUAAUGUGAAUUGCAGAAUUCAGUGAAUCAUCGAAUCUUUGAACGCACAUUGCGCCCGUCAGUAUUCUGGCGGGCAUGCCUGUUCGAGCGUCAUUACGCCCCCCAAGUCCCCUGUGGACUUGGUGUUGGGGAUCGGCGAGGCUGGUUUUCCAGCACAGCCGUCCCUUAAAUUAAUUGGCGGUCUCGCCGUGGCCCUCCUCUGCGCAGUAGUAAAACACUCGCAACAGGAGCCCGGCGCGGUCCACUGCCGUAAAACCCCCCAACUUUUUAUAGUUGACCUCGAAUCAGGUAGGACUACCCGCUGAACUUAAGCAUAUCAAUAAGCGGAGGA
rnacentral:misc_RNA from 1 species